CCUACGGGGGGCUGCAGUGGGGAAUAUUGGACAAUGGGGGGAACCCUGAUCCAGCCAUGCCGCGUGUGUGAAGAAGGCCCUCGGGUUGUAAAGCACUUUCAGUGAGGAAGAACGCCUGGUGGUUAAUACCCAUCAGGAAAGACAUCACUCACAGAAGAAGCACCGGCUAACUCCGUGCCAGCAGCCGCGGUAAUACGGAGGAUGCGAGCGUUAAUCGGAAUUACUGGGCGUAAAGCGCGCGUAGGUGGCUUGAUAAGCCGGUUGUGAAAGCCCCGGGCUCAACCUGGGAACGGCAUCCGGAACUGUCAAGCUAGAGUGCAGGAGAGGAAAGUAGAAUUCCCGGUGUAGCGGUGAAAUGCGUAGAGAUCGGGAGGAAUACCAGUGGCGAAGGCGGCCUUCUGGACUGACACUGACACUGAGGUGCGAAAGCGUGGGUAGCAAACAGGAUUAGAUACCCUUGUAGUC
rnacentral:rRNA from 1 species